CACUGUCAUCUCCCACGUGAGCAUUGAAGUCCCCCAGUAACACAAUGGAGUCCCCAGUCUGAGCACUCCUCAGUACCUCUCCCAGGGACUCCAAGAAGGCCGGAUACUCUAUACUGCUAUUUGGGCCAUAGGCACAAACAACAGCAAGAGCCCUCUCCCCAAUCCGAAGGCGCAGCGAGGCGACCCUCUCGUUCACUGGGGUAAACUCCAACACAUGGCGGCUGAGCUGGGGAGCUAUAAGCAAGCCCACACCAGCCCGCCGCCGCUCACCACGGGCGACUCCAGAGAAGUGGAGAGUCCAGCCCCUCUCAAGGAGCUGGGUUCCAGAGCCCAAGCUGUGCGUGGAGGUGAGCCCAACUAUCUCUAGCCGGUACCUCUCAACCUCCCGCACAAGCUCAGGCUCUUUCCCCCCCAGCGAAGUGACAUUCCAUGUCCCAACAGCCAGCCGCUGUGUCCGGGGAUCAGGUCGUCGAGGCCCCUGCCUUCGACUGCCACCCAAUCCACAUUGCACCAGUCCCCUACUGCUACCUCUGUGGGUGGUGAACCCACAGGAGGUCGGGCCCACGUCAGCUCUUCGGGCUGAGCCCGGCCGGGCCCCAUGGGCAAAGGCCCGGCCACCAAGCGCUCGCAUACGAGCCCCAACCCCGGGCCUGGCUCCAGGGUGGGGCCCCGGCUCUGGCUCCAGGGUGGGGCCCCGGCUGCGUCAUCCCGGGCGACGUCACGGUCCUCGGAUUUUUCUCCAUAGGGGUUUUGGUGAACUGCUCUUAGUCUGGCCUGUCACCUAGGACCUGUCUGCCUUGGGAAACCCUGACAGGGGCAUAAUGCCCCCGACAACAUAGCUCCUAGGAUCAUUCAAGCACACAAACCCCUCCACCACAAUAAGGUGGCAGUUCAAGGAGGGGCUAUCCAUAUUGACUUGAAGAUAAUGUUUUCAUCUGACUAACUCCAAGCUAACAAGUAUGUUUACAUCGGCUACACUUAACUUCCAGUACCUGGCUAUUAAUGAUUUGACACCACAGCCCGGGUGGCAUAUUGGUUGCCCAUGUGCAACAAAGCUUGACGUGCUGAAGGAUGUUUAAGAACUUAAAGCUACUUACAAUAGCUAAUCAGGUGACUGCACUUUGGGGCAUUAUUACAACUUGGGCUUGUACUACUGAUAGUGAUCAUAUUUAAAUGCUGUACAGUUACCCUUUAAAGCUGUCUACACCCAUUCACACCACUUUCAUUAAACAUUAAAGCAUGGUAAAUGAAUAAUUAUUAUGGUUGACUAAUGUCAGAAUAGCACAAAUACCCUGGUUUAGAAUGGAUUCACCUACUCUAUAACUGUGUGAAACACAACAUAGUGUUGCAUAGGCAGAUGAGAUUAACCAAUGUACAGUGGUGCUUGAAAGUUUGUGAACCCUUUAAAAUUUUCUAUAUUUCUGCAUAAAUAUGACCUAAAAUAACAUCAGAUUUUCACACAAGUCCUAAAAGUAGCUAAAGAGAAGCCAGUUAAACAAAUGAGACAAAAAUAUUAUACUUGGUCAUUUAUUUAUUGAGGAAAAUGAUCCAAUAUUACAUAUCUGUGAGUGGCAAAAGUAUGUGAACCUCUAGGAUUAGCAGUUAAUUUGAAGGUGAAAUUAGAGUCAGGUGUUUGCAAUCAAUGGGAUGACAAUCAGGUGUGAGUGGGCACCCUGUUUUACAACUCCGAUUCCAAAAAAGUUGGGGCAAAGUACAAAUUGUAAAUAAAAACGGAAUGCAAUGAUGUGGACGUUUCAAAAUUCCAUAUUUUAUUCAGAAUAGAACAUAGAUGACAUAUCAAAUGUUUAAACUGAGAAAAUGUAUCAUUUAAAGAGAAAAAUUAGGUGAUUUUAAAUUUCAUGACAACAACACAUCUCAAAAAAGUUGGGACAAGGCCAUGUUUCCCACUGUGAGACAUCCCCUUUUCUCUUUACAACAGUCUGUAAACGUCUGGGGACUGAGGAUAUAAGUUACUCAAGUUUAGGGAUAGGAAUGUUAACCCAUUCUUGUCUAAUGUAGGAUUCUAGUUGCUCAACUGUCUUAGGUCUUUUUUGUCGUAUCUUCCAUUUUAUGAUGCGCCAAAUGUUUUCUAUGGGUGAAAGAUCUGGACUGCAGGCUGGCCAGUUCAGUACCCGGACCCUUCUUCUACGCAGCCAUGAUGCUGUAAUUGAUGCAAUAUGUGGUUUGGCAUUGUCAUGUUGGAAAAUGCAAGGUCUUCCCUGAAAGAGAUGUCGUCUGGAUGGGAGCAUAUGUUGCUCUAGAACAGAGGUGGAAAGUAACGAAUUACAUUUACUCACGUUACUGUAAUUAAGUAGAUUUUUUGUGUAAUUUGUAAUUUUUUAAGUAGUUUUUGAAAUGGGUAAUUUACUUUUACUCAAGUACAUUUCGAACCAAGUAUUUUACUUCGCUACAUUCGAAAACCGCCCAUUACUGAGUAAAAAAUUAAAUGCGGGGAAAAAAAACCAAUUGGCCUGAACUGAAAGGAAACUGGCACAGGCGCGCGCGGAAUAUCCAUAUUAGCCUACAUGUAUGGUUGGAUGAUGGCUGGUGCCGAGGUAGCCGAGCAAGAGAUAGAGGAGGUCAUGGAAGAGGUUGAGGAUUGCCAAGAAGAGAAUUCCCGUGGAACAGAUGCACCGGACAGCGAGGGAAAUCCUUGGCCGUAUCUCAGCCAGUACUUUGCAUUCAAACGCAAACGAGGCAAUAACAUAAUAAUGCAAUGCAAAAUGUGCCUGCCCUGCUGUACAGAGCUAUCAGUCUACAAAACUUCCACAUCAAAUCUGCGGAAGCAUGUGGUGGUAAGUAGAUAUGUGCAUUUACCUGUGUAUCCCAAACGUUAUAUUUAUUGUUUGGUUAAAACCUUCCACUGUUGAGUAAAAUGUGCCUUCAUUAUCAAUUCUUUUGGCUGCCUAGCAUCCAUACUGAUCACUAACGUUUCAAGUGAAGUAGCCUAAAUAAAAUGAAUCCCCUCACGUUUACAAAUUUGUUUUAUCAGAAUGAUAGUCAGAAAUAAUACGAGUGCAUGGUUUUAGCUGCAAUUGGUCUCUUAUGAAAAAAUCCUAAUUCAUGUAUAGACUAGCUCCUGGGUUGUUAGCUGUAGCCUAGACUAGAGCUUUGGGAGGUCACUGAUAGGCCAUCAAAACAUUUUCACUGUCUUGGAUACUUUGUUUGAUUUUGGUUUUCUUUUCUUUUUUAUUGUGGUGUUUGAGUUGGACCAUACAAUUCAGAAUUUGGCACUUUGCUUAAAAAUGUUUUAUGGGGUGGUCUCAAAAUAGUUUGGACAUUACCUCUCGACACGUUGUAAACAUUAUGCAGUUAAUUUGUCAAUUAUAUUUUCUAUAUAAGGAAGAGCACAGUGCUACUAAGGAAUCGCUUAGCUGUCUUUAAAUCGUGAGAGUCCUGGACACUUUGAGUUUGGUUGGUUUAUGUUUAAUAUGUGUCAUUUAGUAAGUCUGCUUUAGUGGCUUUAAUAGAUUAGAUUAGAUUCACUGUAUUCAUCCCACAUCGGGGAAAUUCACGUGUUACAGUAGCAAGAAAAUGUCAAACAUAACAAAUAAAACUGAAAUACAAAUUAGACAAACGAAGGAUUAAAUACAGAGGGCUAUUUGCAUUAUCUACCAUGAAAAAGUAUAGAAAAAUUGCCUUAUUGAGAGGCUCGGAAAAAUUGCACAUUACAGGUAGACUCUGUAUAUAUACACACAUAUAUACAUAAAUAAUAUUUAUAUAUAAAUAUAAAUAUAAGUAUGCAUAAAAAUAGCAGGCGUUUGUCAGUAAAGAAAAAAAUGGAUGAUAGAAUUUACAACUUAUGCCACUUGUACUUGAAAAUGUUUUAUGGGGUAGUCCAAACAAAGCUUUAUGCAUUAUAAUGCCUGACAUGUUAUUAUGUGGACUAAUAGUUCAUUAAAAACAAUUUGAUUUAUGACUUGUCCUUUCUUUUUUUACAUCAAAUAAUUGAAAGUAACUAAGUAACUUUUACUCAAAGUACAUUUUAAAUUGAGUACUUUUUUACUUUUACUCGAGUAGCUUUUUAGAUGGGUAUUUUUACUUUUACUUGAGUAUAAUUUAAGCAAAGUAAAGAUACUUUUACUUAAUUACAAUUUUUCAGUACUUUUUCUACCUCUGCUCUAGAACCUGGAUAUACCUUUCAGCAUUGAUGGUGUCUUUCCAGAUGUGUAAGCUGCCCAUGCCACACGCACUAAUGCAACCCCAUACCAUCAGAGAUGCAGGCUUCUGAACUGAACACCGAUAACAACUUGGGUCAUCCUUCUCCUCUUUAGUGCGAAUGACACGGCGUCCCUGAUUUCCAUAAAGAACUUCAAAUUUUGAUUCGUCUGACCACAGAACAGUUUUCCACUUUGCCACAGUCCAUUUUAAAUGAGCCUUGGCCCAGAGAAGACGUCUGCGCUUCUGGAUCAUGUUUAGAUACGGAUUCUUCUUUGAAAUAUAGAGUUUUAGCUGGCAACGGCGGAUGGCACGGUGAAUUGUGUUCACAGAUAAUGUUCUCUGGAAAUAUUCCUGAGCCCAUUUUGUGAUUUCCAAUACAGAAGCAUGCCUGUAUGUGAUGCAGUGCCGUCUAAGGGCCCGAAGAUCACGGGUACCCAGUAUGGUUUUCCGGCCUUGACCCUUACGCACAGAGAUUCUUCCAGAUUCUCUGAAUCUUUUGAUGAUAUUAUGCACUGUAGAUGAUAUGUUCAAACUCUUUGCAAUUUUACACUGUCGAACUCCUUUCUGAUAUUGCUCCACUAUUUGUCAGCCCAGAAUUAGGGGGAUUGGUGAUCCUCUUCCCAUCUUUACUUCUGAGAGCCGCUGCCACUCCAAGAUGCUCUUUUUAUACCCAGUCAUGUUAAUGACCUAUUGACCUAAUGAGUUGCAAUUUGGUCCUCCAGCUGUUCUGUUUUUGUACCUUUAACUUUUCCGCCCUCUUAUUGCCCCUGUCCCAACUUUUUUGAGAUGUGUUGCUGUCAUGAAAUUUCAAAUGAGGCAAUAUUUGGCAUGAAAUUUCAAAAUGUCUCACUUUUGACAUUUUAUAUGUUGUCUAUGUUCUAUUGUGAAUACAAUAUCUGUUUUUGAGAUUUGUAAAUUAUUGCAUUCCAUUUUUAUUUACAAUUUGUACUUUGUCCCAACUUUUUUGGAAUCAGGAUUGUAUUUCAAGAACAGGGAUCUAUCAAAGUUUGAUCUUCACAACACAUGUUUGUGGAAGUGUAUCAUGGCAUGAACAAAGGAGAUUUCUGAGGACCUCAGAAAAAGCAUUGUUGAUGCUCAUCAGGCCGAAAAAGGUUACAAAACCAUCUCUAAAGAGUUUGGACUCCACCAAUCUACAGUCAGACAGAUUGUGUACAAAUGGAGGAAAUUUAAGACCAUUGUUACCCUCCCCAGGAGUGGUCGACCAACAAAGAUCACUCUAAGAGCAAGGCGUAUAAUAGUCGGCAAGGUCACAAAGGACCCCAGGGUAACUUCUAAUCAACUGAAGGCCUCUCUCACAUUGGCUAAUGUUAAUGUUCAUGAGUCCACCAUCAGGAGAACACUGAACAACAAUGGUGUGCAUGGCAGGGUUGCAAGGAGAAAGCCACUGCUCUCCAAAAAGAACAUUGCUGCUUCUCUGCAGUUGUCUGCUCUUCUGCUCCUCCUACUCAAGCGAGUAGGACGCUUCUUUGCUUUGCUCCUGCUUUCUUGAUCUUUAUUUCUAUACUUUACUUUCUCAUUUAAUUUCCACUAUUUUUUUCAUUUUAUUUUUCAUCUUUAUAAGAUAAGUUAGUUUUUAAAACAAAAUGCCAGGAAGCAAAAAAUCCUGCAGAAAAUGCAUGGAACUAGAACAGAGGAUUUCUAUUCUGGAAUCAAAGAUUGAUGCUCUGCCAAAGACGGACGAAUUAAAAGCAAUAUCUCAGGAAAGGAGUACAGAAACAGUGGCUGAGAAUGCAGAGAUUGCACUCCGACAGACCGAGGACAUUGUGGAUGAAUUCACCAAUCAAGCUGGGCAAAAUGUGAGUACAGAAAACUGGCAAAUGAUGGGUGGUAAGCCCAAAAAUAAAAACAGAAGAGUGAUUACUUCAACACCAGCUCGUUCUACAAAUUACAAUGGGAUCUACAAUCCUAUGGAAAAUCCACAGCCCAUAAGGAUUCAGAACAAAUUUGAAUGCCUCAGGGAUGUGGAAGAGGAUUUUUCAAGCGGACAAACACAUAGUAAAAAGAGAUCGCACCAAGAUCGAAGAGCUGUGAGAAGAGGCAAAAAGCAGCUCCUUACACCACCUGACCCCACAACCCUUGUUCUUGGUGAUUCCACUGUAAGACAAUUAAAAGGUUAUGGGAUGAUUAUUUGUUGUCUUCCAAAUGCAUCCAUCUCUGACACCAAAGACAGCAUUUUGAAGCUCAUGUCCGAGCAUAAAACUAUAAAACGUAUUGUUGUGCAUGUGGGAGCAAAUGAUGUUUUCAGAGAACAGCUGUUUGUCCAAGAUGAUUUCAGAAAACUUUUUUCUGAGCUCUAUAAGACUGGAAUUCAAUCUUUUAUCAGUGGCCCACUCCCAGCGAGAGGAAGUUUUGCUUUUUCUCGACUCUUCAGUCUUAACACCUGGCUUGGAAAAACUUGUUCUUCAUUUGGUAUGAACUUCAUAGACAAUUUUAACCUUUUCUGGAAUCGCAGAGAAUUUUACAAGCCAAACAGCACUGAACUCAGCUGGAUUGGAGCCAAAGUCUUAGUAGACCAUUACAAACUUGCAAUCUUUUCUCAGCCAGCACUGAGGAAAACAGUUGAUAAGAUGUCGCAGACUGACAUAGUUACAAAGCCUAAACAAUCAUCUUUGCAAGUCGUCAUCAUAGGCCGUAAGGUGAACCCCGAAAAGUCUUUCAGAAACAAGAUUCCGCUCCGACGUCUCUGAACUACAUAAUAUCCAAUUCUUAAAAAUGGACGUAUUAUGAAAUGAUGUCAUCAAAAAGUUCUCACCUUGUAAUGCUGUCAAUUUUUCGCACAAAGGCUUGAAAAAGCGAACUAAUGUCAUCAGCGCGGAAUGAUAUUUUGGCACCGCGGAAUAAGAUUUCACUACAGAACAGGUUCCACGGUUGCUGACGUAGCCCCAUUUCGUAAACAAGAGACCAACAUGGCAGCCAUCACAGCCUCGUCUAGCAGCAGUGGAGGAGAGGAAAGUUUGGAAAUAAUGGCAAAAAGGAGAAAACUUCUUGCACAUAAGCAGUGCUAUAUGCAUAUAGCUUCUGUGAAGCACGGAGUGACCCAGGAAUUUACCUUCAAACGGUGGAAUACAUACCGGGACAGUAUCCGACAGUGCCUGCAGUUGAGCGGUGAGAACAGGAGACUAGCCGAAAACUACAAACACUGUUUAGAUUUAGAGUUUGACAAGAUACCCGAGGAUGCUGCCUUCCACCCUGCAUGUUACCGCAGGUUUACGGACAAACUUGCGAUUGAACGUGCAGGAAAGCGUAUGGUGCGCGAGAAAGAAGGGGAAGAUGAAACUCAAGACGCCGCAAGACCCCCCGAAGCUCCCCCCCCCCCCCGAAGCUGGCCCCUCAACAUCGUGUAGCACUAAGAGUCUUAGAUCCAGGUCAGCACUGCCUAUGUCCAGCUCAGGUCCCGUCCUUCCUGCCCUGUGCAUUAUAUGUAAAAAAAAAAACCCUCAAAUUCAUCUUAAAGGGAGGCAAACGACAAAGGGAAGCUCUUUCAAAAGCUGAGACCUUAACAGCAGGUAAGCAAACCCACCCAUCCCCCCCCCACACACACACACAAAGGGUCACAAUCACUGAUCAACCCCCCUGCCCCCCCACACACAAAGGGUCACUAUCACUGAUGACUAUCUACAGUGCUAUCUCCCUCUGCAAGUGUGUUUGCAUGCAUGGAUGUUAUGUUUCAAUGUUUGUAUGCAUGUAACAUAUGUGUGCCUUUAUGUGAAUAUGCUACUGGCAAACUUAAAUUCCUACGUGGUAAUAAGCAUGUCUUUCUGUCUGGCAAGGCAAGUUGCAGACUGCUGCUGAGACUAAAGAUGACCACAGUAUUCUGGUACACAUUAAGGACGAAGACUGUGUGGCUCUGGAGGUGCAGUACCACAAGAGCUGCUACCAGCAGUACACCAGAUUUCUGAAUGAGCCUGCUAGACAAGAGAAGGACAAGUCAUUGCCUGGAUGCUGACCCCUGCCUUUUUGCACCAUGCCACAGGACUUAUAUAUAUAUAUAUAUAUAUAUAUAUAUAUAUAUAUAUAUAUAUAUAUAUAUAUAUAUAUAUUUUUUGUGUAUAUAUAUAAAUUUGAUUUGUAAUGUGUAUAUAUCACUGUUUUGUUGUUUACAUUUUCUAUUAAAGUUUGCAAUUUGCCACAUAGUUCUGUUGUA